UACGUAGGUGGCAAGCGUUGUCCGGAUUUACUGGGCGUAAAGAGCGCGCAGGCGGUCGUUCAAGUCGCGUGUGAAAGCCCCCGGCUCAACUGGGGAGGGUCACGCGAUACUGAUCGACUCGAAGGCAGGAGAGGGUAGUGGAAUUCCCGGUGUAGUGGUGAAAUGCGUAGAUAUCAGGAGGAAUACCGGUGGCGAAAGCGACUCUCUGGACGGCAACUGACGCUGAGGCACGAAAGCGUGGGGAGCAAACAGG
rnacentral:rRNA from 1 species